rnacentral:rRNA from 1 species
AUUGAACGCUGGCGGCAUGCCUUACACAUGCAAGUCGAACGGUAACAGGCCGCAAGGUGCUGACGAGUGGCGAACGGGUGAGUAACACAUCGGAACGUGCCUGAUAGUGGGGGAUAACUACUCGAAAGAGUAGCUAAUACCGCAUAAGAUCUCAGGAUGAAAGCAGGGGACCGCAAGGCCUUGCGCUAACAGAGCGGCCGAUGGCAGAUUAGGUAGUUGGUGGGAUAAAAGCUUACCAAGCCGACGAUCUGUAGCUGGUCUGAGAGGACGACCAGCCACACUGGGACUGAGACACGGCCCAGACUCCUACGGGAGGCAGCAGUGGGGAAUUUUGGACAAUGGGCGCAAGCCUGAUCCAGCAAUGCCGCGUGCAGGACGAAGGCCUUCGGGUUGUAAACUGCUUUGUACGGUAACGAAAAGCUACUGGUUAAUACCUGGGCCCAUGACGGUACCGUAAGAAUAAGACACCGGCUAACUACGUGCCAGCAGCCGCGGUAAU